GACGAACGCUGGCGGCGUGCUUAACACAUGCAAGUCGAACGGAAAGGCCCUGCUUGCAGGGUACUCGAGUGGCGAACGGGUGAGGAACACGUGGGUGAUCUGCCCUGCACUUCGGGAUAAGCCUGGGAAACUGGGUCUAAUACCGGAUAGGAGCCAUUUUUAGUGCGAUGGUUGGAAAGUUUUUUCGGUGUAGGAUUAGCUCGCGGCCUAUCAGCUUGUUGGUGGGGUAAUGGCCUACCAAGGCGGCGACGGGGGGCCGGCCUGGGAGGGUGGACGGCCACAUUGGGACUGAGAUACGGCCCAGACUCCUACGGGAGGCAGCAGUGGGGAAUAUUGCACAAUGGGCGCAAGCCUGAUGCAGCGACGCCGCGUGGGGGAUGACGGCCUUCUGGUUGUAAACUCCUUUCGCUAGGGACGAAGCUUUUUGUGACGGUACCUAGAUAAGAAGCACCGGCUAACUACGUG
rnacentral:rRNA from 1 species